GGGACACACAGCGCGCUCUGGGUCCACCCACUACCCCAUUUCGGUCUCUCUCUCCCACUCCCAGUGUGAUGUUUGGUCAUAUGACAGGGUCUGAAUACCGACACACACCGGACAUGAGCGAGUAGGAGUGCAGGGGAGAAAACAAGUGAACCGAUCCUGAGAGAGCGUGAAAAGGCACUAGGGCACUUCUAUCUGACUGUGAAACGGUGAAGAAGGGAACUCGCUUAAAGAAACAGCGGACAAGAGUUUCACCAACUAACUUUUGCGAGUAUAGGCCUAAUCAACUGAGCGGAGUUUUAAAAAACUAUUUCCAAGCCUCUCUCGUUAUUUCUUUCCCAUCUUUCAGCGCAUGACCCCGGGACUGUAGAAUACUCAGAGCGGUAAGUGACAAACUCAUCACAAAAUUGGAAGCUGGGGCUCGAGGCAGCAUUUUGGACAUCACUUUUAUUGCAGAGCGUCGCGCCUUGAUUUUAUAGACUUGAGUUGUGAGAGUGACCAUGGUCGGGGAGAUGAGUGAGCAGGUCCGGGAAAGACCAAGGCCCAGCCCGGACUACCUGAUGCAGUUGAUGACGGACCGGAAGGUGAUGAGCUCUCUGCCCAACUUCACUGGUAUCUUCACACACCUGGAGCGGCUCCUAGAAGAAGAGAUAGGUAGAGUGCGCAAGGACAUGUAUAACGACUCGAUGAAUGGAGGUGUGGCCGCCGAGGGGCGGAACUCUGAGGAGCUGCCUAAUGGGAUUGGUCCAGUGGCUCAGCUGCAGGAGAAGCUCUACGUGCCCGUCAAAGAGUACCCCGACUUUAACUUUGUAGGUAGGAUCCUGGGUCCGAGGGGUCUGACAGCCAAACAGCUGGAGGCAGAGACAGGCUGUAAGAUCAUGGUACGAGGGAAAGGAUCCAUGAGAGACAAGAAGAAGGAGGAGCUGAACAGAGGGAAGCCUAACUGGGAACACCUGAGUGAGGAACUCCAUGUACUCAUCACAGUGGAAGACACACACAACAGAGCUCAGAUCAAACUACAAAGAGCCACCGUAGAGGUCAAGAAACUACUCGUACCAGCCGCUGAAGGAGAGGACAGUCUAAAGAAGAUGCAGUUGAUGGAGCUGGCCAUUCUCAAUGGAACCUACAGAGACGCCAACAUCAAGCAACCCACUAUGGCUUUCUCCCUAGCCUCCUCUCAGCAGCCUCGGCUCAUCUCCAGUCCCUCCCCUGUUAUGCAGCAGGCUAUGAGAAACCCCGCCCCUGUUCAGCAGCCCAAUCUCAUGCCUCACCUGAUUCGUCAGAUCCAGAGUCAGCAGGCCCUCAUGCAAGGAGCCAAUCAGCAUGCAGGACUGAUGCAGCAAUCACCUGAAUCAGGAGGGUUCUUCUACGCUCCCUACGAAUAUUCCCCCUACACCCUAACCCCAUCUAUACUAGAAUACCCCAUGGACACUAGUGGAGUAUUAGGUAUGGCUUUCCAAACCAAAGGCUGAGAGAUAAACUCCCUCCUACAUAUGGACCUCAGACACACACACACACACACACACACACACACACACACACACACACACACACACACACACACACACACACACACACACACACACACACACACACACACACACACACACACACACACACACACACACACACACACACACCUAUCUGGGAUGGGCCUUUUGACUGUCUUCUUAAUGUAACUGUUUGAUGAUGUCACUGUUAACCCCCUGUGUUUUGGUGUUUUGGUAAUGUGGUUGCGUGGUGAGCAGGAGCGAUGACGGCUAAGGUGCAACGCCACAAUAUGAGGGUCCAUCCUUACCAAAGAGUAGUGAACACCGACAGAGCUGCCACAGCGACUAACCCUUGACCUCUGUACCCACUGAUGACCCGCCCAUCUCCGCCUGUGGCUUGCUCGUUGCCAUGCUCUGGACAACAGCCACGCCCCCCCCAACCCCCCCAGGAGUCACCUCUGCCAAACCAACCAGAGACCAGCGCCAUGGUAGUGACCCUUCAGGACCCAAUCAGGACCCAGUCACCAGCCAUGCCCACCCAAACACCACACUUUCAAGCCAUGUGCUCCUUCUAUAGGAACCACUACAUCAAAACCACCCAAUCACAACCCCCCCAACCAAAGCCCAGCCAUGCUCUCUGCACGGGUCAGAUAACCAAUCUCUAUACCUUGCCCUGCAUUGAGUCGAUUGGAAGCUAUAGUAUUAUAAUAAUAAAAUAAUAAUAACAGUUAUAUGUAUGAUCAUAACAUAUUCAUGCCCGAUAAGCUAGUCUGACUGUCCCUGUUCUCAAACCCUCAGCGGGGUUCUUGAGAAACCGGAAGCAUCUCGUUUUUCGGGUUGGGGGGAGGAGCAAAGAGGCAAAGCCUACAAAAAUGGAUGCUUACGGUUCCUGCCGACCCACUAAGUGUUUGUUUUUUCACGCCUGCAACAUGAGGUUACUGUCACACAAAAUGUUACUCCGAUCUGGUUUAAUAUGUCACACCAGUUUCACACGAUGUCCUCUCUAAGACUAGGCUUUUCCACCGUGCCUGCCUUUCUACAGUGACCUGAGUCUAUCUAACGGGUACCGAUCACACUUCUCCAGGUGCUACAGAGUGAAGAGUCUCAACCAUAGCGUUUGCUUUACCAAUACAGUAUUAUGUACAUCUGGAGAACAACGUGCCUUUAUUUAUUCCAAUAGAGAGAGAUGUCACAGACCAGAGCAGCCUUUUUUAUGAUGGGUUUAUAUUCUCCAUGAAACAUGUCUCAACAAAAGUGAAAGAGAUGUGGUGUAUUAUAAAGGAACCAACUCAAUGUUGUGGUUUCCCAUAAGCCCUACAUAUGUCUUUUGGAUUUAGAAUGAAGUGCCAAAACGGGUCACUAUCUUCCGUUAGUAUAGUAGGACCUCCUCAGAACAGUGUUAGUUUUGUGUGUUUUCUUUUCUUUUGGGGGGGAAAUGACGUGUAUACUUGUGUGUCUGCCUGGAGAACACACCCUAUUGUAUAGUGUUGUGUUAUUAGAUAUGUGCGUUACAUACCUGAGCUCCUAACUCUCCUCUUGGCCAAGCAGUUGUUUUUACUCCACACAAACCAUCUCAUUCAAGACAAAACAUCUGUUUAUAAUGUAUUUUUAUAUGACAUUUUUUGUAUGUGAGAAAUAACAUUAAAUUAUGUUUUCUGGAAAGAACAGUAUGCCUUACUAUGGAGAUUUAUCUGAUUCAGUUUAAGAGCAAACUGCCUCCAACCAAUGUGCCAUUCACCAAGUGUCCGGAGAGUUUUUCAAGUUCUGAUAUACUGGAAACCUUGAGGUAUUCUGGAAAAUUGUUGUCUAUCAAGUUAAUCUCAGUGUUGCUUACCUUCUGGGCCUUCUCUAUGUCGAGAGUCGUUAUUAACUGUAGUACUGUAUAUUAAUCUACUCUUUGUAUUAACUGACCAGUCCUGUACCGUUAACCUCUCUACUCAUAUCUGCCUCUGCCUUGGUUUCUUUAAAACAUAAACUGUGUGAAUCUGAGAAUUAAAAAAGUGUGUUGUUGAUGUUUAACUUUUUAAAAACUGGUAAAAAAAACCAACAACAAUAACUCUUUGUACUGAAAAACAAAAACAUGAUUAAACUGGUAGUUGUAAAAAAAACUAA